AUUGAACGCUGGCGGCAGGCCUAACACAUGCAAGUCGAACGAGUGGCGGACGGGUGAGUAAUGUCUGGGAAACUGCCUCAUGGCGGGGGAUAACUACUGGCUACGGUAGCUAAUACCGCAUACCCUCAGAUGUGCCCAGAUGGGAUUAGCUAGUUGGUUGGGUAACGGCUCACCAAGGCGACGAUCCCUAGCUGGUCUGAGAGGAUGACCAGCCAAACUGGAACUGAGACACGGUCCAGACUCAUACGGGAGGCAGCAGUGGGGAAUAUUGCACAAUGGGUGCAAGCCUGAUGGAGCAAGGCCGCGUGAAUGAAGAAGGCCUUCGGGUUGUAAAGUACUUUCAGCGGGGAGGCGUUACCAGCAGAAGAAGCACCGGCUAACUCCGUGCCAGCAGCCGCGGUAAUAC
rnacentral:rRNA from 1 species